rnacentral:rRNA from 1 species
UACGGAGGGUGCAAGCGUUAUCCGGAUUUACUGGGUUUAAAGGGUGCGUAGGUGGGUUGGGAAGUCAGUGGUGAAAUACUUUCGCUUAACGAAGGAACUGCCAUUGAUACUAUCAAUCUUGAAUGUAGUGGAGGUAGGCGGAAUGCGUCAUGUAGCGGUGAAAUGCUUAGAUAUGACGCAGAACACCAAUUGCGAAGGCAGCUUGCUGCACUACUAUUGACACUGAGGCACGAAAGCGUGGGGAUCAAACAGG